AUAAAGUGGCUGAUAAAAGCUAAGAACUGUAAAUUCUUAUAUAAACUAAUAAUUUCUUUAUUA
rnacentral:tRNA from 1 species